AAGAAAAAUGUAGAACUGACUUCUUAAUCAAGGGCUGUUCUCCCUAGCAUCUGUCCCAAAAGUACGGUGGUUUUCAGCACAUCCGUUCUUCCAUAGGUACCUGCGUCGAGCUCUGCACAGGUGACUGGGACUGCAACCCCGGAGACCACUGUGUCAGCAAUGGGUGUGGCCAUGAGUGUGUUGCAGGGUAAGGACAGAUGAAGAGUUAUCUUAAGGAUCAUCUUUCCCUAAGAUCGUCAUCCCUUCCUGGAGUUCCUAUCUUCCAAGAUGUGACUGUCUGGAGUUCCUUGACUAGGAAGAUGGAUGAAAACAGCAAGCCUGUGGAUGGAGACUACAGGGGAUAUGGGAGGCAGGGAAGAGGGGUUGUUUCUUUUAAUAAAUCAUCAUUGUUAAAAGC
rnacentral:lncRNA from 1 species